GACGAACGCUGGCGGCGUGCUUAACACAUGCAAGUCGAACGGAAAGGCUCCAGCUUGCUGGAGUACUCGAGUGGCGAACGGGUGAGUAACACGUGGGUAAUCUGCCCUGCACUCUGGGAUAAGCCUGGGAAACUGGGUCUAAUACUGGAUAUGACCUUUCUCCUUAUGGGGUUUGGUGGAAAGUUUUUCGGUGUAGGAUGAGCCCGCGGCCUAUCAGCUUGUUGGUGGGGUGAUGGCCUACCAAGGCGACGACGGGUAGCCGGCCUGAGAGGGUGAUCGGCCACAUUGGGACUGAGAUACGGCCCAGGCUCCUACGGGAGGCAGCAGUGGGGAAUAUUGCACAAUGGGCGGAAGCCUGAUGCAGCGACGCCGCGUGAGGGAUGACGGCCUUCGGGUUGUAAACCUCUUUCAGCAGGGACGAAGCGUAAGUGACGGUACCUGCAGAAGAAGCACCGGCUAACUAUGUG
rnacentral:rRNA from 1 species